UACGGGGGAUGCAAGCGUUAUCCGGAAUUAUUGGGCGUAAAGCGUCCUGAGGUGGCUUAAAAAGUCGUUCGUGAAAGCUCAGGGCUUAACCUUGAAAUUGCGGCCGAAACUUUUAAGCUUGAGUACAGUAGGGGCAGAGGGAAUUUCCGGAGGAAUGGUGAAAUAUGUAGAUCUCGGAAAGAAGGCCAAAGGCGAAAGCACUCUGCUGGGCUAAUACUGACACUGACAGACGAAAGCUAGGGGAGCGAAAGGG
rnacentral:rRNA from 1 species